CCUACGGGAGGCAGCAGUGGGGAAUAUUGCGCAAUGGGCGAAAGCCUGACGCAGCGACGCCGCGUGAGGGAUGAAGGUCUUCGGAUCGUAAACCUCUGUCAGCAGGGAAGAACGGUCAGGGGGCUAAGCAGCAGUGAAUUGACGGUACCUGCAAAGGAAGCACCGGCUAACUCCGGGCCAGCAGCCGCGGUAAUACGGAGGGUGCGCGCGUUAAUCGGAAUUACGGGGCGUAAAGCGCUCGUAGGCGGUAUGUCAAGUCAAGGUUGAAAUCCCCGCGCGCACCGUGGGAACUGCCUUUGAAACUGGCAACCUGGAGUGUGUGCGAGGUUAGUGGAAUUCCAGGUGUAGCCGU
rnacentral:rRNA from 1 species